rnacentral:misc_RNA from 1 species
GAUGAAGAACGUAGCGAAAUGCGAUACGUAAUGUGAAUUGCAAAUUCAGUGAAUCAUCGAGUCUUUGAACGCACAUUGCGCCCCCUGGUAUUCCGGGGGGCAUGCCUGUCCGAGCGUCAUUGCUACCCUCAAGCACGGCUUGUGUGUUGGGCCCCGUCCUCCGAUCCCGGGGGACGGGCCCGAAAGGCAGCGGCGGCACCGCGUCCGGUCCUCGAGCGUAUGGGGCUUUGUCACCCGCUCUGUAGGCCCGGCCGGCGCUUGCCGAUCAACCCAAAUUUUUAUCCAGGUUGACCUCGGAUCAGGUAGGGAUACCCGCUGAACUUAAGCAUAUCAAUAAGCGGAGGA